rnacentral:lncRNA from 1 species
CAGGGUCUCAGCACAGGGGACACUGCGGCACUCAGGGAAGGGCACCUCCCCACGCUGGCACAGGGUCUCAGCGAGAGACUAUGGCAUUUGGGGAAGGGCCAUUUUGUCAUUGACUGGAACUUUCUCAAGAAAGCAUUUUCCACUUGCGUUACCAUGGAGGUUGGCUUUGCUGGAAACCACAGGACCCUGCCCUCCACCAGACACACAGUGUGCAGAGGCGUGUACCCGAAAAGCAAAGUGCGGCCUCACACGGUUCUUUAAUCUGGAGCCGGACUCCUGGGAAACAAACCAAACAGACGCAGUCGGACGUCCCUCUGCUGGCCCGUCUCCUGCGCCACACCCACCAUUCCCUUCUCACCCCUUGAAGCUCUCUCGUCCUCACAAAAGCAACAGGGCCACUUAUGCACCGUCCUGUUUUUCUGGACACCAUGACCAGGAUGGGACAGGGCUCGUGAACCCACACGUGAGAUCACACUAAGAUCCUAAAGGCUUUGUGCUUCUCCAGAGCGGCUGCUGUCUCAUGCGCACCUGGCCUGCUGUGCCCUCCCCACCCAGUGUGCCCAUCCUGCCCAGUGAGUGUCCCCCCCCGUGUGCCUGCCCUGCACGGUGAGUGCCCCCCUCCCAGUGAGUGUCCCCCACCCGGUGUGCCUGCCCUGCCCGGUGUGCCUGUCCUGCCCAGUGUGCCCUCCCGGUGUGCCCUCCCCGCUGGGUGUGUGCCCGCCUGGUGUGCCCUCC